rnacentral:misc_RNA from 1 species
GCAUAUCGAUUUUCGAUAGCGCCUGCGGGCGGUAAAAAACUUUGAUGCGCGUUUGCAGGGCGAUUUGCAGCGUAUUGGGCUUGUCGCUUUGCGGCGGAAUUUCGCGCACGUUGUAAUAAAAAAGGGUUUCCCGAUCCUUGGGGAGCGACGCCAGCGCCGGCACCCCCUGAAUUUUGACCUGUCCGAUUGCCGACGGCUCAAUGCGCUGGACCGGUGGGACGACGAUUAAAGGCGAGGUGAUUUUGACGCCCUUCUCAUC